AUAACGACUCUCGGCAACGGAUAUCUCGGCUCUCGCAUCGAUGAAGAACGUAGCGAAAUGCGAUACUUGGUGUGAAUUGCAGAAUCCCGUGAACCAUCGAGUCUUUGAACGCAAGUUGCGCCCGAAGCCAGCAGGCUGAGGGCACGUCUGCCUGGGUGUCACGC
rnacentral:rRNA from 1 species